AGGACAAAGGGGCUGAACGCGAUGGUCCAGCUGAUACUUCCUUGUGGAAUUUCACAAGAACGCUUCCCAGAUUUAGUGAUUUCUUUAUCUUCUACUCCACAUGCCCCGGUGUUGUCUCGUACAGAAGCGAACGUGAAGGAACGUACUUCGUUCAGACGCUCCGUGAGGUCCUGGAGAGAAACCAUCAUGUUACGGAUUUCAUGAACAUGAUGACGCUUGUCAACAAUUAUGUAGCAGAGCAGGACAUUCGCGGUUCCUCUGCGGAAGUGGAGAAACAGAUGCCGAACAUAAUUUCUACGCUGAGGAAGGGGUUACUGUUUGCGGCUCCGGAGGGCAAGGUGACAAUGACACAGCCAAGCAGUGCUGCUGAGGAGAGUGAACACGCCUUUGCGUGCACAAGCACCCAGGU